rnacentral:rRNA from 1 species
AACGAACGCUGGCGGCAUGCCUAACACAUGCAAGUCGAACGAGACCUUCGGGUCUAGUGGCGCACGGGUGCGUAACGCGUGGGAACCUGCCCUUAGGUUCGGAAUAACUCCCCGACAGGGGUGCUAAUACCGGAUAAUGUCUUCGGACCAAAGAUUUAUCGCCUUUGGAUGGGCCCGCGUUGGAUUCGCUAGUUGGUAGGGUAAAAGCCUACCAAGGCGACGAUCCAUAGCUGGUCUGAGAGGAUGAUCAGCCACACUGGGACUGAGACACGGCCCAGACUCCUACGGGAGGCAGCAGUGGGGAAUAUUGGACAAUGGGCGAAAGCCUGAUCCAGCAAUGCCGCGUGAGUGAUGAAGGCCUUAGGGUUGUAAAGCUCUUUUACCCGGGAUGAUAAUGACAGUACCGGGAGAAUAAGCUCCGGCUAACUCCGUG